rnacentral:rRNA from 1 species
UACAGAGGGGGCAAGCGUUAUUCGGAAUUAUUGGGCGUAAAGGGCGCGUAGGCGGCCUGGCAAGUGGAUGGUGAAAUCCCUCGGCUUAACCGAGGAACUGCCAUCCAGACUGCUUGGCUUGAGACCGGGAGAGGUGAGUGGAAUUCCCAGUGUAGCGGUGAAAUGCGUAGAUAUUGGGAGGAACACCAGUGGCGAAGGCGGCCUCACUGGACCGGUACUGACGCUGAGGCGCGAAAGCGUGGGGAGCAAACGGG